CCCCGGGGCAUCCGCCCCGGGGGAACUGACACCGGUACCUGACACGGCCGGUGCAG
rfam:Streptomyces katrae strain NRRL ISP-5550 contig1.3, whole genome shotgun sequence.